UGCUGAUGCAGGGCGGCGCUGCACCGCUCGCAGCUCUUCAGUCCCUGUCGUGCCGUCCCCAACAGUGAGAGCGCGAUCGCAGGGUCCGUGCGGGGUGGGCCUGCUUCGGGGAAGUAGGUGGGCCCCACCCCGUCACAGUGACCGACUCUUCCUGUGGGGUGGGGUUCCAGUGCCUAGCCCUGUCCAUCAGCUCCUGGGGCGGAGGGCUGUGGUAUCUCCCCUGACAUUGAUAGGUCCUCCACAGUCUGGUGUGACCCCUUUCCCAGUUUUCUGAUCAGAGAACUUGGUCGCUAACUGGCUGUUCAGAGUCAAGAUACGGUAACCAAGGCACUGAGAGGUGAAGUGACUUCUCUACAACAACAAACCGAGCCCAUGAUAGAGCUAGGAAUGGAGCCCUGGUCUCUGACUCUGUCUGCACCUGCCUCCUUUACAGGAACAAAGAGUCAUUAAGGUUCUAAUGAAAGCAGAAAGACCACCGGACAGAAGAGUAUCCAGGAAGGACUGCACCUCAGGGUUCCCUCCACCCAUGGACUUAUGAGCUAUACCAGAGACAAAGACUUUGUUUUGAUUUAUGGGUGGUGCCUUCUAGGACAUAUCUAGAUAUGUUUUUAAAUACCUCCCAUCUAUACCCAGGACAAAGAGGGCUACACCUAUCAUUUUAAACCUUGUUUGCUUUAUUUUCCCUGUAACCCACCCUUGAGCCCCCAGAUUCACUGCACCUUAACUUGUUCAAUUUGUCUUUGCUUUCAAUUUGUUUCAAACAUUCACUUAAAACAUUUUGCUAUGCUAUAUAAUAGUAAUUAGUUUGCACUGCUUAGUCAUACGUGUUAUUAUUGGCAUAGGCCAGGGGAAGAGAACAUAGACUAGGAGCUAUAGACUAGGAGCUAUAUUGUUACUUCUUCAUCUACUAAAUGUACUUCUGGCAUCCUGUCUGUUUCCUUUAACUGUAAUUCAUAUUUUUUCUUCUCUCAUCAGUAAAAAACAAACAAACCCUCUCACUCCCCCUGUACAGAGUGGGACGAUCAUGCUCUUGUUCAGACUUGGCUCUAAUAGCCACUAUGAUUUGCAGCCUUUAUAUAAUCAGCUAAUUUAAUGUAAUUCCUACACUUUCAAUCAAGCCUGGUGAGCAGAUGGCAGAAUUAAAGCCUGUAGGUUGUGUCUAAUGAUGAAGCCUGAUUUCAAGAUCUCACUCUUAGCCUCAUGUUGUCAGAGUAUUCUGAUAUUCCAGGCAUAGAUGCAACCAAAUUAAAAUAGGGGUGGGCCCGGGGAGCCCAGAAGAGAGAGAACAUGAGUCUAACAUCUUGAUGAAAUCCUCCUUUAAGAGAGAAGAGCCUUACAGAACUGAAUAGAGAUCAAAACCUACCUAUAGCAUUUGAACCUCUUUCUAUAGACAGAUGAGUUGGAUGAGGAAAUAUCUUUUAUUGGACCAGAAUUUGUUGGUGAAAGAGACGAGCUCUUCUUCUGCACUGGUCCAAAGCUUCUGCACAGGUCCAAAGCUUAUCUUUUUCGUCAACAUAUUUUGGUCCAAUAUAAGCUAUUACCUCACCCACUUUGACUAUUUAUUAUGCCGGGACUGGCACAGUUAUUAUAUCCCUGCUAACUCCUUUAUAUUGUUUUUUAAAUCACUUUAUAAAAAGGGCAGAAUUCUCAAUUGAAUUUCAUAAGGGUGGCCUCAGAACUACAUUUUCAAACUAAAUUGUAUAAGACUUUUCUAUAGGGAAUUAAACAGCUGUGACUGUGACUCACCCAUGUGGACGUAUCUGUAAUUAACUCAUACCAAGCUCUUUGCUGAAGAACUGAUGCCACCUCUCCAUGUGUAUUUGUGUGGGUAGAGAACACUUUGAAGACACACAAUGAUAUAUAACAAUGCCAUAGAUUUUCUAGUAGCAGCACAGAGCAAUAUAUUUCAUCUGGUAGCACUUUGGGUUAACUUAGACUGGUGUUGAAAGGCAGUUCGGGUAAUAGGUUUUUAGGAAUGCUUAGGAUAAGAUCUUAAACUUUAGCUUCUCUCUGUUUGCCACCUUGGAAGUCAGUUAAGAAUCCCUGCUGGUCAUAGGUUUGACCAACAUUCAUUUUCCCACUCAACAGAUUUCACAGCUACAUGGGUUACUGAGUCACACUACCCUACUAGCACCUCUGACACUGGGAGGAUGAUCUAAAAGCUAGGACAGGGUCAGGACCCCUGAGUUUGGUUCAAGCUCUGACACUGACAAUUGUUUCCCUUUCCUAUAAAAUGGGGUUAACAAUACUCAGAGGAUAGUGUAAAUCUCAACCCAUUAAUGUCAGAAGUGUUUUCAAAGCCUUGGAUGAAAGGUGCUGUAGAAUCCUGGAACUAUUGUCAAUGGUUUGUAUUAUAGUUGCCCUACAUGUGGAUGCACAGGAUCAGAGUGUGAGAAGGAAGGGUAGGUACAUAUGAGGGCAGGGGAGGCAGCCCUGCAUGCUGGGGAAGGCAGCUGCUGCUCUCUGAUUAAUUCCUUUAAAGAAGAGGGUGCCCAAUGGGCAAAAGACAGGAAGAGAAUAGAUAGAAUCAUGGUAGCAUCAGCAUCCUUGCACCAGUCAAUUGCACAGGAAGGACCUGCUCAGCCUCUAUGAAAUAACUUAUACGAGACCCUGCAUUGGGUAUUGCCAGUCGGAUUGCUUGAUUGCUGCCUGACCAUGCCCAUCAAACACACAACGCCUCCCCUUUGCCUGGAGGCAUGAUCGCAUAUGGAGAAGGCAAUUUGGACUCAGCAGUUACUGUGGCAGGAGGAAGCCCUACCUCUAUCUAUUUUUGAACAUUGCUGUUUGGAAGUUUCCACAGCUUCACUCAAGAGGGUAAUUAUUCCAAAUUGCAGAGGUGGGUGGAUUAAGAUUGUUUUAUUAAAAUAAUUAAUGUGUAUCUUUUGGAUGCUGGUCCUGGAGGCUGCCAGGUGUGUGGCUGUACUGCAUAUGCCAUUAACAGGACCAGGACAGACACUAAGAUGAGAAGGCACCUUAUACCUAGACAGCUACCGAAGACAGAAUCGGGACAAACCAGGCUGGCCAGUAGGGUAGAGUGAGAGGCUCUCUUUCCCCUUUGUAUGAGCUCUUCUCCAGUCCUGACACUUGGGGAAGCACAGGGCUGACUCAAGCAAUGGGCAUAUAGGUGGAGAGGGGUGAGCAAGCAGGGCCCCUUCAGCCCUGCAGAGAAAGCCCAGGCCCAGAGAAACAGUGCUUGAGAGAAGUGCCCUAUGGGCACUAUCCCUCUCAGAGCUCCCCCGGUGCCAGGUGUCCAUGCUGCACUCCUUAGCGGCAGUUUGCUCUCAGCUCUUACAGGGAUCAGGAGCAUUAUAAAAUACCUAGACUUUUAGACAGACGUACAUGCCAGGGGCUGCUUAGGCAUAGUUACCAGAUUUGCACAUUUGAUUUACCAUCUGCCCGGACAAAUUCAUAUUUGCAUAGACAGCUGAGGGCUUUGUUGUGCCCCUGUGGUUGUUGAGUUGGCAGGCUUGGUGAGUGCAGUUUAAACUGCCUGUUUGCAACAUGUUCUCCAAAAUGCACAGUGAGGGUGGGCUAGGGCUUAAUUGGCAAAAGGAAAGUGACAGGAAGGGGCAUGGAUGAAUUUUUUGGCAUUCACUAUCUUGACGGGCCCUCUGUGUCUGUUGCUAAACCUCUGCUCUCCUGUGUGCUUGGUACAGUGGCUGUGAAAUGUCCAGAGGGCCCCAUUUGCAUCUCUCUACACUUUCCCUCUGCAAGCUGUGGACAUGCAAGAUUAAUUCCCAGCCUUGAUUGUCAGCAUCUCCGUGUGCAGGUUCAUCAGGUGCAGCACUGACUUGGGCUUGUCUGAACCUUGAUGAUAAGCUCUCCUUGUUAAAAGCCAUUAUAGUUGCUUCUAGCUGAGUGUAAUUCUGACUGACUGCUAUAGUUCUCCUUUGCAUGUAAUUGAAUUCAUGUUCAUCAGAAAGCAAUGAAAAAUAAAUUGUGUGCGUGU